rnacentral:rRNA from 1 species
AAUAGAUACCCCGGUAGUCCACGCCGUAAACGAUGAGUGCUAAGUGUUAGGGGGUUUCCGCCCCUUAGUGCUGCAGCUAACGCAUUAAGCACUCCGCCUGGGGAGUACGGUCGCAAGACUGAAACUCAAAGGAAUUGACGGGGGCCCGCACAAGCGGUGGAGCAUGUGGUUUAAUUCGAAGCAACGCGAAGAACCUUACCAGGUCUUGACAUCCCAUUGACCGCUAUGGAGACAUAGCUUUCCCUUCGGGGACAGUGGUGACAGGUGGUGCAUGGUUGUCGUCAGCUCGUGUCGUGAGAUGUUGGGUUAAGUCCCGCAACGAGCGCAACCCUUGUUCUUAGUUGCCAUCAUUUAGUUGGGCACUCUAAGGAGACUGCCGGUGACAAACCGGAGGAAGGUGGGGAUGACGUCAAAUCAUCAUGCCCCUUAUGACCUGGGCUACACACGUGCUACAAUGGACGGUACAAACGGUUGCCAACCCGCGAGGGGGAGCUAAUCCGAUAAAACCGUUCUCAGUUCGGAUUGUAGGCUGCAACUCGCUUACAUAAAC